rnacentral:lncRNA from 1 species
GACUCUCAUCAGAUGCGCCCCUGUCCCUAUACCCCUAGGCAGUCAUCGCUCAACAGGAUAGCUACGUGGAGAUGCAGCGAAUGGCCAUCCAGGAGCGUGAGAAGCAGUUCCGGCUGCAAUCAACGCGUGGGAACCUGCUUCUAGAGCAAGAGCGGCAACGCAACUUUGAGAAGCAGCGUGAGGAGCGCGCGGGUGUGGAGAAGCUGCAAAACCAGCUGCGCCAGGAGCAGCAGCGAUGGGAGCGGGAGCGGGCACGCCAGCAGCAGGAACUGGAGCUGGCAGGCGCGCGACUGCAGGAGAGAGAGGGCGAGGCGCGCCAGCUGCGCCAGCGGCUGGACCAGGAGCGCACAGAGCUGGAGAGACAGCGCCAGGCCUACCAGCAUGAUCUGGAGCGUCUGCGCGAGGCCCAGAGAGCAGUGGACCGUGAACGUGAGCGCCUGGAACUACUGCGCAGGUUCAAGAAACAGAACACUGUACCGGGGGCACUGCCCCCGGAAGUGCUGGCAGAGGUUAGUGGACCUGUAUAGCCAAACUCACUCAGCUGCAAGUGUGGCUCUGUUUUGUGCUUGCCUAGUGUACAUGAAGACCCUAGUUCCAACCCCAGCACGGUACUAAAAAAACAAAACAAAA